rnacentral:rRNA from 1 species
UAAACUACGAUUAGAUACCCUAUUAUUUUAUAUGUAAAUUUUACCAGGGUAGUAAUAGUUAUUUUCUUUAAACCUAAAGAAUUUGGCGGUAUUUUAGUCUAUUCAGAGGAACUUGUCCCGUAAUCGAUAAUCCUCGUUUUAUCUUUCUUGUUUUUGUAUUCAGUUUGUAUACCGCCGUUAUAAGUUUAUUUUUUUAGAUUAUUUACUUUAAAUUUAAUUUUAUUUUAUUUCAGGUCAAGGUGCAAUUUAUAAACAAGUGGAGAUGAGUUACAUUAUUUUUGAAUAUAUGAAUUUUAUUUUGAAAUAUUUAUUUGAAAGUGGAUUUGAUAGUAAUUCUAAUUAUAAUAUUUUUUUGAUUUUAGCUCUAAAAUGAGUACACAUCG